GGCCGAAUAAGGCGUUCACGCCGCAUCCGGCAAUCAACGCCUGAUGCGACGCUUGCGCGUCUUAUCAGGCC
rfam:Escherichia coli str. K-12 substr. MG1655, complete genome.